GCACCUAGGUUUGGGAGGAGGAAAACAAGAAAAAAAUAUUCUGAAUCCCAAAAGCCAGAACAGCAAGAGGGUUCUGGCUUCUGGGAUAACCGCGCCAAGCCUCUUCAGGGCAGCAGGAUGAAGGCUCCCCCUGCCCGAAGCGGCUGCGUGCAGCUAAGGCAGAAGCCAGGACAGGCGUGUUGCUGAAGGGGCGCUGCACAGUUCUCCUUCUCUGCGCAGACCUCUCCUUUGCAGUCUCCUUCUGUUCCUCCUCCCGCUUCACUGAACGGGCGUUAUGCAGCUCUCCCUCUCUGCACAGCGCCAUUCGUGCCAUAAGACGCACUCACAUUUCCCCUUACCUUUUAGGAGGAAAAAAGUGCGUCUUAUGGAGCGAAAAAUACGGUAAGGUGGUGCUAGUACUGCGUACCCUUAAGCACUGCCCCAUUUGAAAGAAACCUUUGGGAUGUCCACCCAUUGAUAAUUGAUUGCUUUAAGACUGGUGAUAGAAAAACCAUACUAAAAUCUAAGCAUUGUAUUCUACAUGGAGUGCUGCAACAGCCUCUGCCAAUCUGGUUCCCUCCAGAUGUUUUGGACAACAACUCAGCAUCUUCUGGCUGGGGCUUUCGGGAAUUGUUGUCCAAAACAUCUGGGAGGCACCAGGUUGGCCAAGGCUGUAUGUCCAACUCGGCCGAAUGCCUUGUCAGCAUCUGUUGACAGGAAGGAAUAAGGGAAUUGGGUUUUGUUUCACUGAAUAAAUUAUGGAAAGUGUCCUCCUGACAGAGUCCAUCUGCUGCUGCUAAGAAGUAAGUCCACCUUGAGUUGUUAUGCAUCAACAAAUGUAUUAAUUCAAUUUGCAAGGAUUGCGAUAAAUGUUUUUGCAUCUUGAUUCACCGAAGCAAUAUGUUUCUAGAUGUCUCUAGACCUAAGAUAUUAUUAUUAAGAUGAAGUAUGAUGGAGAGAGAGAGAGAGAGAGAGACGAAAGGCCUCUCCAGACUGGAGGGUGGGUUUUUUUGCAAGUGUAUUCUGCAAUGUAUCAUUGACACAACAAGAGUGCAUUAGUGGUGAAUUUUACUGGACUGUCCACAUAUAAUUCUGAUUUUUUCAGUUGUUCUGCAUUGCUUCCCCAAUAUUACUGCUGUGCUGGGCCCAGGGGUUAACCCAAGCAACGCGGUCCAGGUCCAGUCCCGAAUCCAAGGGUUCCACGAGGAGUCAGUCUGACAGGGCCAAGGCAGGACACGAGGCAGGAAACCAGGCAAGGUCAGGCACAGGAUCACAGGCAGGUUCUAGCAAACAGCAAUGUUGCUCCCACAACCUGGGGCGGGGUCCGACAGCCUUUUAUCUGUCGGGGUAAUGGACGGUCCUGAUCCUCCGGUGACUCACCUCCCUGUCUCGCCCAAAGGCGAGCACUCCUCCUGUGAGUACUCAGGUCUCCCCUUCUCUCAGACCUCAGUCUCUGCAGCUCGGGAGACGUCGGUGGGUUACUAGACCCAGAGGCCACCUCAGCCUCUCCUGACCCAACUGGUGGUAGAGCAGCUGUAAGUGAUUGCCCGGCUGAAGGCAACGAGGUAAUCCCCGCAUCUGGAGCCAGGGCAGGCUCCGGCCCCUGACUUGGCCCAGCUGGUGCUUGUUGUAGGGGAACCUGUGCAGACUGGGGCUCUUCAGAAUCAGGCCCCAGACUAGGUUCAGAUGCCGCCUGAGGCAAAGGAUCUGGUGCGGACUGAGACUCUUCUGGUUCCGAGUCCGAACCCAAGUCCCAGGGCAUCACAACUGCAUUUUUGUCAUCUGAAGGGCCACUGUUGCACUUGUUGGUAUCUAUCUGUCAUGAGAGACAAUUGAGUGUGCCUUCUCUCUGGGGCGCAAGCCUGGGCAGUGUGCGUGGAGGUCCUGGACUGCCCAGAAGACAAGACCCUCCUCUUGGCCUCACUGAUGUGGUCCAAAGAAAAGCAGAGAAAUAUAUUUGUCACCAGCCUGGCUACAGGAGUGAUACAGGGUGCCAUCCAAAUGCCUUUGGACUCCACUCUGGAUUUGUGUAGGAUUUACUCCUUAGAGAAGCCUGAAAUAUAUCCUGGCCCUGGGCAUGGGGCCAAGCACCACC
rnacentral:lncRNA from 1 species